AGAGUUUGAUCAUGGCUCAGAACGAACGCUGGCGGCAUGCCUAACACAUGCAAGUCGAACGAGACCUUCGGGGUCUAGUGGCGCACGGGUGCGUAACGCGUGGGAACCUGCCUUUAGGUUCGGAAUAACUCAGAGAAAUUUGAGCUAAUACCGGAUAAUGUCUUCGGACCAAAGAUUUAUCGCCUUUAGAUGGGCCCGCGUAAGAUUAGCUAGUUGGUGGGGUAAAGGCCUACCAAGGCGACGAUCUUUAGCUGGUCUGAGAGGAUGAUCAGCCACACUGGGACUGAGACACGGCCCAGACUCCUACGGGAGGCAGCAGUGGGGAAUAUUGGACAAUGGGCGAAAGCCUGAUCCAGCAAUGCCGCGUGAGUGAUGAAGGCCUUAGGGUUGUAAAGCUCUUUUACCCGAGAUGAUAAUGACAGUAUCGGGAGAAUAAGCUCCGGCUAACUCCGUG
rnacentral:rRNA from 1 species